ACAUUUUGACAUAUGGUUUUCACCAAAGGAAAACAAAAACCCAUUUUUGUUUCUCCCAAUUUGUAAAGAUGUACCAGCAUGACAGAGAAUACAAGGCACAUCCCCAAUAAAUGUGCUGAUUUUAAGAAAAAACACAAUCUUGCAUAUAUUCUGAAGAUCAUUCUAGGCUUGACUGUUUCAGUCUUUGAAAGUGCCAAAUGCCUGUGCAGACUGAGUUCCGUUGGGUUUCUGUCUUUGCUUUGUACGGUGCAGCAGCGUUUGUACAAUGAGGUUGCAUUUUUGUACACAAUGUUAUUUUUCUGCUUAUUGCUUGACUAUAGAAACCAAAUGUUCUGCGUAAACCUGCCAAAACAAAUAUACCUGCCAAUGUUGAGUGAAAAAGUGAUAAUAAAACAAUAAAAAAAAUAAUUAAAAACUUUUUUGUUUGACACAGA